rnacentral:rRNA from 1 species
CCGUGAUAACGUAGCAUAAUCAUUCGCCACCUAAUUAGUGGAUAGUAUGAAUGGUAAAACGAGUAUAACACUCUCUCAGAAGGAAGUUUUAUGAAAUUGGAGUGGUAGUCAAGAUACUACCUAAAACUGUAAGACGAAAAGACCCUAUAGAGCUUAACUAUACCUUUCUCAUAAAAUUAAGUUCACUUAAGUUCCAGAAAGAUUGGUAGUUUAGUUGGGGCGACUGCUUUCUAGUAAAAACGAGAGCAAGCAAUAUUAAUUAUCUAAUUUACUGUCUAAUCCAUAUGUUUAACAGUUAUAAAAAUAGGCAAUAAUGACCCGUUAGUAAUAAAAAACACUACUAACGAACAAUAAAUAAAAGCUACCUUAGGGAUAACAGGAUAAUCUUGUUCUAGAGACCUUAUCGAAAACAAGGUUUGUCACCUCUAUGUUGAAUUAAGAUAUCCUAGAAGUGUAGAAGCUUCUGAGG